UGCUCCACGCGCCUCUCACAUCUGCUACGCGGAGCACCCUUGGUGCUGGGGAAUGCAUACCUUGUUUUCACGCUCUUCCCUUCCGCGCUGUUCCACCUCGCCACCUCUCUCCUCUGCGUGGACCUUAACGGUGGGGGCCUCUGCCACCCACGCACGCACUCUCUUACAAGGAUGUGUGUGGGCGUGCGCUCGCACUCUCCCCACCCCCUUCCCAUCCUCUGACCUCUCCACCCCACAGAGGAUUAUACACACACACACGCACACACAAGUGAGCAUAGCCACAUUUGUGCUCGCUGCUCAUUAGUUUGGGGAUCUCCACUCUCUCACCACGUGUGUGUGUUUUGCUUGGAGGAGCAUACACCCUCCACCACCACCACCCCCUCCCUGCCCCUGCCACACCCACGCCCACGCGUGGUUCUCUACAUCUCUCACGCGCUGCUUCCUUUAGAUUCUGAACCGCUACCGCCGCUACCCUAUAUCCGGCAGAUGCCGCUGUUGUGCUGAGGCCCUUCGUUGCCGUCUCACUCGUCGUCUCUUCUCGCACACUUUAUCUUCUUUGGCGGUAUCUGCGUGUGCGUGUGCGUGUGCGUGUGUGCGUGUGCGUGUGCGUGUGCGUGUGCGUGUGCGUGUGUGCGUGUGCGUGUGUGCGUGUGUGCGUGUGCGUGUGCGUGUGCGUGUGCGUGUGCGUGUGCGUGUGCGUGUGCGUGUGCGUGUGCGUGUGUGCGUGUGCGUGUGUGCGUGUGUGCGUGUGUGCGUGUGUGCGUGUGCGUGCGUGUGCGUGUGUGCGUGUGUGCGUGUGUGCGUGUGUGCGUGGGCGUGUGUGCGUGUGUGCGUGUGUGCGUGUGUGCGUGUGUGCGUGUGGUGCGUGGGCGUGUGUGCGUGGGCGUGUGUGCGUGGGCGUGUGUGCGUGUGUGCGUGGGCGUGUGUGCGUGUGUGCGUGGGCGUGUGUGCGUGUGUGCGUGGGCGUGUGUGCGUGUGUGCGUGGGCGUGUGUGCGUGUGUGCGUGGGCGUGUGUGCGUGUGUGCGUGGGCGUGUGUGCGUGUGCGUGGGCGUGUGUGCGUGUGCGUGGGCGUGUGUGCGUGUGUGCGUGGGCGUGUCUGCUUUGCGAGAGCUGAGGCAGGCAUCGUUGGGACCGCGCCCUGCACGCGAGCCCCUCUCACCGCCCGUAUCUCGUCACCCGUUCACCAACCCGCCCCUCCAUACAUACGCGGACGCAGUCACUGAACUAUAAAAGUGUGAGUGGGUCUUUUUAUCAACGCGCCUGCUCGCCGUCGUCACCGUCGCAUCCUGUUGCGCUCUCGGACUAUCCUCUUGGCCUAUAUUCGCUUCACUUGAUACACGCACACGCAUUCGCAUCGCCGUCCUCCACUUGGAGCGCCGCUCCUUACCACCACCCCUCACGCACGCUCACACGCACACGAUGGGGAGCAACGUCUCCGUGUUGCUGCAUGCCGAUACGCCGGUGCCGAACAGCGUCAUAACGACCCAGCACAAGGUGCGUGCCAGCUCAAACUUCGGCGGCAGCAGCGGCGAUGUGGUGGUGCGGUGCCCGAAGAUACGCGUCAUGGCGGCCGAGAAAGUGAAGCAACUUUUACGCGGCAGCCGCGCAGCCAAAGUGGCCUGGGCGGCGAAGCGGGCAUCACCACUCUCCGCGGAGGAGUCGCCCGUCUUGGUCGUGGCGGACUGUGCGGCCCCCGGCGCCCUCACCACGUCGAGAACGUACGUGCCGGUGCUGAACGCCAUCCUCGACUACGCGGAGGCGCACAGAAAGGCUCGCGCGGCACCGGCCGACGCGCCGAGCGGCAGCAAGGUUGUGUGCCCCAUCGGCAUCGAAUUCGACCCGACGCUGUGCCUUGGGGACCGACUGAACCGAAGCGAGGCACGCGCUGCGUGCACUGAGUACUGCAAGCUCUUCUUCACGCAUCUUAUCGACGCGCUAGAGAACGUAGGAAAGGAAGUGCCGGUGAUAGUGGGCGGGGUGGUGGCGCCACCGCGGCUCUCUAUCCUAUACCUGGACGUGCGCUCGUGUCGACUCGACGACACGACAGGGCCGUGGCUCGCGUCCUCGCUUAUUAUGCGCGCCGUCCGUCGCGCGCGCCCCUACGCGCUUGUGUCCGCCCGCGCAAACGCGGCGGGCAGCAGCGAAGACGGCUUCAUGUCGUACUUCUCGCCAGACGUCAAGGCGGAUAUGGUGUGGGCAUCACUGCAGCACGUUCUGCUGGCGCACAACAACAUGUCCAUCCAGGGCGUCGAGGCAGUGCUGGAGAACCUGCUGGCAGAUGACGCCAUGCACGACGUGCUGUUGCAGCAGCAGGGUGUCGAUGCAAAGGCACUGAAGUCGAAGGAGGUGAUCAGAGCCCUUACUCACGACCGCCUGUUCCCUCGCCAGGACUCGCAGCUGCUGCCACACCUGUAUCUGGUCGACGUACGCUACAAUCAGUACAGCGAUGCUGAGUUGCAGAGGUUGCAGGGCAAGACGCCAGCCUCCGUCAGAGACGAGUCCGCGCGCAGGCCGAUCACCGGCACGGCACCGCCCUCACAGGUGCCGGUGCCCACGCCGGGGCUGGCGCCACUGCGGCAGCCACGAGAGGUGCGAAGCGGAGUCGCUGAUGUCUCGCCGACCGAAUACGGCCACCAGCCAGACGCCGACAGCCACCGCUACUCUGCCUACUUCUACGCGCGGCCGACCGUGUCGCAGGCGCAGCACAGCAGCCACAGCGGCGCGCAAGCGUAUAUGAAGCUCUCCAACGACGCCUCCAUUCGCGAGGUCUGGGAUGGCCACAAUGGCGCGGCCCCAGACGCCAUCUUCGCAUCAAACCCUUCCAGCUCCGCCACAUCGUCACCGGUACUCUCCGCAGCGAUGUCACAGCUGAGCAUGGCCACCACUUCCACGGAAUCGGAUCACUUGUGGGCGAAGAAGGCGUCUGCAGCGACGCCUCCGCCGCCCAGCACGGAUGCAAGAGAGCGCCGAGAGGCUGCCGCGCCGGCGCGCGCACCACUGCGAACGCCGUCACCACCCCUCACGCCACGCGGUGAGUUGCGCAAGGCGCAGCCGGUGCACCAGCCGUCGGGCAUCCAGGUCCGCUCCCGUCAAGCCUCACCCGCUAGCAGCCAACAGGCUUACCUCACCAAUAUGGACGCCGCCGCGACCUCCCCGACCUCGGCGACGCAGCAGCAGACCGCGAUGCCCACGUCGCCACGUGUGUUGAGCGCUCGCCACCCUACACACUCUCCGUAUCGCGUUGACGUUGUGGAGCCACAGCAGGUCUACGAGGUGCUGACGAUCCAGCCGCCCGCCAGCGCUAGAGAGGCACCGGCAGCAGCGACACCCUCACAUCCGACAGCGCCGCGCCAGAGCGUGCCGACCGCCCCAUCGCAGGGGUCGUCCACUGUCGCGCGUGCAUGCUGUCUGUCAGAGCUGAAGCGUGAGGAGAGCAAGUUGGACGACGCGGAAAUGGAGGUGCAAAAACUGCUGCUGCACCAGCACCGUCACCUCCACCCCCACUCGCAGCACCACUCGUGGCAGCGCAGCAACAGCGGCGGCCACAACCCCGGCAGCAGUGGCGCAGACGACGAGCCGUGGCUAGACGAGGUCUACACGCAGAGUCACGGCCGCAGCACCUCGCCGGAGCUCGGCGCCGGUAGUCGGCGGAGGUUCUACGACAUCCCGGCUCUCGCCCCGCCGGAGCAGCCCUUUGCCGCCUCCGCCGCGCGGGUUACUCCCACCAUGUGGGAAACAGGUUUGCGCAAGCGACACGAAAGCCCAGCCCAGGUGGUCUCGCGGCGGGCGUCCCCGACAUCGUCGCGUCGGCGGCGCCGGACCAUCUAUGACGGCGUCCAGCCACGCGUCAACUCACAGCGUCAUGUAGGUAACGAGCGGCUGGCAAGGGCGGAGUACGAGGCCGCGACGGCCGCCGAGGCACGGGCGAGAGAAUGGUUGCGCGAGCAUGCGGAGCAGCGUGGAACGGCGGGGCUGAGCAGCGGGCGCGGCGACCCCGUCUCCGCGCGGCAGCACCCGGCAUGCCAUCCGAGCCCGUCUCAGCGUCUGGAGAGCGGGAUGAAGUGGGGGCGUCAUUCACCCCUCUCGAAGCUGUUGUCCCCUUCCCCGGCGCCGCAGCGGCCAGCAGAAGCCUCAUCGUUGACGCCAGCAAAGGCCAACGGCGCAUGGGCAAGCACGCGCAGGAGGCGCGUCCAUCAAAACCAUCAUGCAGGCGCGGCGGCACUGUCUGGCACUGCGCAAGACUCGUCAGCAUGGUGGUCUCACCACCCAUCCACGACGGCGUCGGCGAUCACCCCCGCCAAACGCCGCCUGUCAACAGCGGAGUCGCCGCACAUCGUGCCGCGUGAGACCGUGGCCAGUCGGCUGCGCAAGGUGACGAGUCACCGUCAACGCCACUUUUCCGAAAUGGAAGAGCGAGAGAACACCUACUGCGCCAGAAACUGGCAGCCGCGAACGACUUUUCGGACGGCUAGUGUCACAGGUGCGAUGUGCGCGUCGCGGGCCCAUCCUUUCGAGAUGGCGGCGGUGCUGCAAGAGCAGAAGCAGUGCACGCCGGCCGACCCCCACCGCGGUAGUGACAGCAGCGCGUACAGCGCAGCGAUGAUGAUGGAAACUUCGCUGCUGCGGCGCGGCGACACGGCACCUCAACAGGAGUGGAGCUCGCCUGUGCAUGGCACCAGUCGCGAUAGGAGCGUGAUCCCGAUGUCAGUGCCAUCGCAUCAAUCGUGGUACUCCGCCGCAGCUACGUCGACACCCAAGUACAACAAGAACGGCGCUGAGCUGGUGCACGUGAAGCUGCGCACGCGCGCACGGGCAGCAUACUGACCUAGUGGCGGCGAUGAGGCGGGGGAGGGCGCAGGGGAGCCGUCGGCGGCCGUCUUGCGCCAGCCAUGUGUGCCACUGUUUGUGCGCUAGGGUACAGUGCGUGAAGGACUGGCGGCACACCCCGCGUGCGAGUAUGUCGCCGCUCUCUCGCUCGGAGACGCUCGCCCGCUCACUCCGCCCCCUCCCCUUCUGUGUGCGGCACGUGAAGUACUUGCAGGCAUACCGUAGAGAAGCAAUCCUUCUAGCACAGGGGCAUCGACGUGCGCGCGUGCGUUGCCACCGCCGCCGCCGCCGCAGCAGCAGCAGCAAGUCGCCGUAUUCGUGUGUUUUAGAGGGUGUUCUCCUCUUUAGAUGCUCCCUUCAUAGUCCUCAUUACCGUUCACAUACAGAGACG
rnacentral:misc_RNA from 1 species